rnacentral:misc_RNA from 1 species
AAGUCGUAACAAGGUUUCCGUAGGUGAACCUGCGGAAGGAUCAUUACCGAAGUCAAGGCCCCUUCGGGGGCUAAACUUCCACCCUUUGUUCACCUUACCAUUGUUGCUUUGGCGGGCCGCAUUAGGCCACCGGCUCUCGAGCUGGUGCGUGCCCGCCAGAGACCCCCAAACCCAAACCAUAUUUAGUGUCGUCUGAAAACAAGUUUAAAUUAUUUAAAACUUUCAACAACGGAUCUCUUGGCUCUG